AGAUUAUGCUUGGGACAUUUGAAAAUGAGGCUCUUGAAGUCUUUCUAAGCUUCAAAGAACAAAUCACCAUCUUUUUAUUGGAAGUAUUGGAUUUCCCUUUUUAGUUU